CAGCCGCCGCGGUAAUACGAAGGGGGCUAGCGUUGUUCGGAUUUACUGGGCGUAAAGGGUGCGUAGGCGGAUUGUUAAGUCAGGGGUGAAAUCCCGAGGCUCAACCUCGGAACUGCCUUUGAUACUGGCGAUCUUGAGUCCGGGAGAGGUGAGUGGAACUGCGAGUGUAGAGGUGAAAUUCGUAGAUAUUCGCAAGAACACCGGUGGCGAAGGCGGCUCACUGGCCCGGUACUGACGCUGAGGCACGAAAGCGUGGGGAGCAAACAGGAUUAGAUACCCCAGUAGUCCCUGUCUCUUAUAC
rnacentral:rRNA from 1 species